rnacentral:tRNA from 1 species
GGCUGAGUAGCUCAGUUGGCUAGAGCAGGGAGUUCAUACCUCUCAGGUCGGCGGUUCAAGUCCGUCCUCAGCUACCA